rnacentral:lncRNA from 1 species
AUGCUAGUUGUUACAUCAAUAGUCAUAUUAGCAACCACCGUGCUAGUUGUUACAUCAAUAGUCAUAUUAGCAACCCGUGCUAGUUGUUACAUCAAUAGUCAUAUUAGCAACCCGUGUGCUAGUUGUUAUCAGUAGUCAUAAGCAACCCUGCUAGUUGUUACAAAUCAGUAGUCAUAUUAGCAACCCUCUAGUUGUUACAUCACAGUCAAUUAGCAACCUGGCUAGUUGUUACAUCAAUAGUCAUAUUAGCACCCGGUGCUAGUUGUUAAGAUCAAUAGUCAUAUUAGCAACCUGUGCUAG